AAUACUUCAGUUACACAUGAAUAUCCAUCCAGUCUUGGAUAAUGCAAAUGUAAGAACAUGCUAUUUCAUUUUGCAGGGAGGAAGUUACUUUAAAUGUGCUGUUAAAAAAAUUAAGAACAAUAGAUGUAUAUAACAUUUUAGUAUUUGACAGGUUUAACCCUACAGUGUAGAUUUUAUUGCGCUACCAAUACUUUUAUUUAGAUAAGUAUUAUGCAAUUACAGGUUGUGGUAAUACAAACAUAGCUCUGGUGUAAUUUUACUCAACCUCAACCUGCUUACUACCAUAUCCAAGACUUUGAGUACAUCGCUGAUCUUUUUCCUGACAAUUCCUCCCUUGUUUCUCAUCUUGAUGUUUUUGCCCAAAGAAUUGAUUUUAAAUAUUUGUUAAGUUCAGCACUGAUGUUAAAUAAAGCAGCACAAAAAUCACGGGAGACUUUGUACCCUAGGGUUAUCAUAACAUGUUUUGUCAAUGCGACCUGGCAUAAAACCUGACCACCUGUUUGUGUUUUCAUGUAAGACCUUGAUGUUCGGUGUCAUGUUUUUAUUUUUUGUAUAUUAGAAAACUUUGCUGAAUAGAUCCUGGACAUGGAGUAGUAGAAGACUUGAUCUUUGGCAAAGAUAUUCAAAUAAUUGGUGUCUGAAUGAUGAGGAGAAGGAGGAAGUUGUCCACCUGAGAACACAAGGAAAUCGACGUCUCUGCAGUCUUAGGAAAGAGAACCUGAAGUCUUGGAAAGACCCAGAAACUGAACGUGCCCGACAUAUUUUCACCCUGAGAGGGUCAGAGGACAGCGGAGAUUGGCAUCCUGUUUCAGAACUUCCCUUCAGGGCUGAUAAGUGGUGCUUUACUACAGUCAUCCUGUAUAACUACUUGUACAUCAUAGGAGGCUAUAGGCACCGCAUGAAGAGAGGCUGGGAGUUUAAAAUGGCUUCCUUUAGGUAUAAUCCUUUCACUAAUGAAUGGGUCUCCACAGCUCCUCUAAUUAAGCACAGAAGGCACUUUAGUGCAGUGGCCUGUGAAGACUGUGUUUACGCUGUGGGAGGCUGGUACUUGGACUCCCUGGUGACCCCAGACUCCUGCACAGCUCUCUAUACAGCUGUAGAAUGCUAUGAUCCAUGGGAAGACACCUGGAGGUUUGUCUCCUCCCUGCCGCUCACUGACUUCCAGUUCUCCAUGUCUUUGUCCCAUGAUGUGCCCCUUGCUACAAGCCUUGGACACAACAUCUAUGUGCUUGGAAGCAUCCAGAGAACAGGAGAGAAACUGCUGCUGCAGUAUAACACGAGGCAAGACUCCUGGUCUGAGCUGCUUCCCACACUUACCAGAGCUGACGCAGACCUCCCCACUCUUUACUUCCUGGGUGCCACGGAUAGGCUGCUUGUGAUUGGUGGAAACAACUCAGAGAAUGUGGUGACGUCAUUCUGUGUGCAUGCACAGAAAUGGGGACAGGUCGAAAACUGACUUCUAUGUUUUUGAAGCACAAUCACAUGGUGUCUAUAAUUUAAUGAAGGUCAUA
rnacentral:lncRNA from 1 species